rnacentral:misc_RNA from 1 species
CUCCUUAAAGAAACUACAUGCUCAAGCCAUUGGCCCAUUCUCCAUUUUGCAAAAACUUGGUCUAAUGCAUAUUUACUUGACUUGCCUCAUCAUAUGAAUGAUAGUCAUGCUUCUAACGUGGAGGAUUUGUCACCUUAACGCAUUUUUGAGCCUCCUACAUUGUCUUCUAGUGUUUCUGCUGGUCAACAUGUGCCAAAGUUGCCAUCACUUCCUCAACAAAAAGAUGCCAUUGAAACCGUGCUAGAUGAUGAGUUUGUUACUUCCUCUCAAUGUGGUUUUCGAAGAAAUCUUGUCAAGUGGCAUCAUUCCGAGUCAAAUGCUCCUUGGAUUAUUGAAGAGGAAUUUCAAACUUUGGAUCAUUCUCUCUUAGAUUAUUAUUUGUAGUUCAACUUUCCAGAGUUGAGUUCUUUUCAACCAUGGGGGAAUAAUACAAGGUUUUCUAGAGAUUUUAGAACUACCUA